rnacentral:sRNA from 2 species
UUACUUACAGCGCUGAAUUCUUUGGUAAAAAGAAGCGGAGGAACCAACCUUUUGGGGUGAAUCCCACAACCAUUGUGGGUAGGGUCAUCUGUCGACCCGAAUCCGUCAGCUAACUUCGCAAGCGUGGACAGGAAGAGGU